GGUAAAAUGCUGAGCAUAUAAAUAUAACGUUCGUUUUCAAAAGCCAGAUAACCUUGGAUUGCAUACAAGUAAUUAACAUCCUGGCUCAAGCAACACAUAGUAAUAACGUUUACAUAAACCGUAACCAGUCGGAACAAUGAAGACGACGAAAUUACUUAUUGUUCUUGUGAUGCUAAUGGUUUUAGGAUUUUACGAAAUAGUUACAGAGAGCAAUGAGCGAAACUACGUGAGAGUGAUAGUAAAACGUAGUCCUUUUCCUUUACGAAGGCGUAUAUCCACGAGAAGCCGGCGAUUUGGAAUUUACAACUUGGGGUCUAGGAGGAAGAGGUGGAGGUGGAGGAAAAAUGGAAGAUAAAGAAUACAACACUGGACAACAAAGGGAUAAUGACAAUGACUGACCAUAAUAUGCCCAAAUCCCUUACUACAAAGGGACAUGAAAAACUCAAAAAAUGGAAUAAUUUUAAAACAUCAUUCAAAAUUUUAUGUGUUUUUCUUAAAUAAAUUUGCGUCGCCCGCGUGGCGCAGUGGUUAGAGCGUCUGCUCUAGAGUCGCGAAA